rnacentral:rRNA from 1 species
GACGAACGCUGGCGGCGUGCCUAAUACAUGCAAGUAGAACGCUGAAGAGAGGAGCUUGCUCUUCUUGGAUGAGUUGCGAACGGGUGAGUAACGCGUAGGUAACCUGCCUUGUAGCGGGGGAUAACUAUUGGAAACGAUAGCUAAUACCGCAUAACAAUGGAUGACACAUGUCAUUUAUUUGAAAGGGGCAAUUGUUCCACUACAAGAUGGACCUGCGUUGUAUUAGCUAGUAGGUGAGGUAAUGGCUCACCUAGGCGACGAUACAUAGCCGACCUGAGAGGGUGAUCCGCCACACUGGGACUGAGACACGGCCCAGACUCCUACGGGAGGCAGCAGUAGGGAAUCUUCGGCAAUGGGGGCAACCCUGACCGAGCAACGCCGCGUGAGUGAAGAAGGUUUUCGGAUCGUAAAGCUCUGUUGUAAGUCAAGAACGGGUGUGAGAGUGGAAAGUUCACACUGUGACGGUAGCUUACCAGAAAGGGACGGCUAACUACGUG